rnacentral:lncRNA from 1 species
AGCUUACUGUGCAGAGAAUCUGCAGCUACUUUGUUCAUACUUAGUACAAUUCUUACUCUACAACUACAGAAGUAAGUAACAGGAUAUAUUCAUCGAUCCCUGCUCUCAAAUAGAAAGCACCCAAAGCCUUCCAUGAAUUUCCAUGGACUGGUGCCACUAUGCAAGAAUUCAGGCAGGAGCUGCACUGUUAUGCUACAAAUUUUCUGAACGAAAAGUUCACACUAAAAAUUUACACUUGAAGGCUGCUACUGUUUUACUAGCUGAUAGACGAUUAAUGAUGGGCUUGCUAAUCUCUGUACAUGUCAUCAUAGUUCAGCAAAAGCUCAUAAUUUGUAUUUGUCAAAAUCAUGGACCCGGUGCUUUGGGAGUGUGACGAUCAUUUGGGCCUGAACCAGGGUAGUCGGUUAUCUGCAGAGCCAUCCUUCCAAACAUCUCCUCAACCACUGCGUUGCUUCUCCAGUUAUCCUGCAACAUUCCGUACAAAACCAGUAAGGUUAGUUCUUGGGAAAUGGCCACUUUGAGAUGAACUCAGACAUACAGACUACGACCACUGCGCAGGCUUCUCUCAACAUUUGGCAUAAGUUAUGAACAUGGCUUACGGAGUACGGUUCGUGUGUGCCAUAUCAUCUUGUUUGAUCUUACUGUUUUUGAGUAACCGUUACACGAAUGAUGAACUCGAAUCACACUUUCAGAUAACUCAAUAUAUACACUUGCAUAUUGCAGCUUCAGACCUCUUAACUCUGAAUCAUUUACUGUUUCUGCGCUUAGUCCACACUAUACAAAGACAAGUAAUUCAACUGACGUUUCAUUCAAAUGAAAAUAUUUAGGUUGUGAAGAACAAAAUCAAGCACCUAAAUCUCUAAGCAGUUUAUUUGUACUACCACUGCAACUAGUCAAGUACCUCUGCUGUAUCUUCAGCACCCUUCAACGGCGGAGCCUCAAGCUCAACCAUCCUCGCGCUGAAUCUCCCUGCAUCCACAUCAAAUUAUUCAUCUAAUCGGGAAACGCAUGAAAGAAACAGACGAUAAUUUGGGUGAAUUAUUACUUGUGAAACGAGCUGCAUGAGCGGACGCGACGAGGAGAUGCAGAGCGAGCAGGAUCACCAGCAACCGGCCGGCCGUCAGCCUCGCCAUCGCCAUGGCUUCCACCUCCGAAGCGUGUCUGACUCUUUGGCUGGACGAUGUGGCGAGGUUAAAUAGCUGCGACC